CCGACCCCCCGCGCCGGCAAAACCCGGACUGGAUCUGCUCCCCGGCCCACGGCCUCGAAAUCCGGGGCUUGCCAAGCGGUCGGCGGGCCGCGGGGCGCCGCUCCCCACCCGGCGCCGGUGGUUCCGUCUGGACCGGGCACCGCAGACUUUGGCGGGCCGGGUCGGACUGCGAAGGCAGCGAUUUGCCGCAAGUCGUUUAAAUGGUCUGUGCCGUGCGUGGCGCCCGCGCUCGAGCCUCUGAGAAAGCGGGGAAGGUGCACCAAUCCCAGACCGGGGGCAGUGGCUGGGUGAGUCACCAGGAGUCACCCAGGACGGCGGGACUCCGGAGACACUUCCAUGGCACGGCCUGCCAACCUGUCCGCCUCUGAGCGCGCCCCUCGGGGUCCUGCCCGAGGGGGACCCGCGUCCUGUGUGAAGUCCCCUCUCUCGGCUGUCAUUUCUGCAUUUCCAUCUGGAGCGCCUCCUUACCACGGCUGCAGUCCAGGAAGCUUUCUGCUCUCUCCAUUCGGUGUGUGCGCGGGCUGCCCGCUCUGCCGCGGCCUUCGAGAAACACACAGGAUUGGGGGUUCAAGACUGCUCGAGUUGGUAUUUUUUUAAAAAAUAUUAGUAGAAUUCCUGUCUACACUUUGAAGUCAGCUUGUUUUUUCUCUCAGGCCAGAGCCCACACACAUCUAUUUUCUGGCCCUAGAAAGACUGGCCUUGGUAUUGGGACCACGAAGUGAAGCCUAAGGUCCCAGAAGCGGUUUGGCCAGGCUGCACUGUGAGGGGUGAGAAGGGUCGAGAUGGGCACUGAAAGCAGCAUUAUCCAGGCACAUGCAGGCCACGGAAGACCAGCCUCAUGAAAUAGAAGACAUUUACUGGGAAGCGAAAUCAAAUGACCUAAUUCAUCAGGAAUCAAGAAAUGGCGGAAGCUACAGGCUCGUGACGCGUUGCACUCAUGCUAUGGGCUCAGAAGUCAAGAAAUUUCUCAUGAUGCCAAGCAAGUCGGUAGCAAUCGUUGCUGAAACGUAACACAUUUGUACUUCCAAACGGGGCACACUUGCCACCGAGAAGGAGGCGUGCCUGAUCCGUUCUUCUUUGUAUCCUGUGUGCUUUGGCCGCCUGGUUUGGGAAGUGUUGAGAACCAAGACUGGACUUUGGACUCUGGUACAAGUACCUGAAAUCCUACUCACCCUAAAGAAAAAGGAAGGGAAGGGAUUUAUCAGCUUCGGUAACUCAGACACAGAUGGGCCUGAGCUCGGGGAAAAUUAGAUCCAGGGCUCACGUGAUGUGUGGCCUUCUGUCUCUGAGUGUGUGUGUGUCAGUUGUUUCAUUAUGUGGUCAGUUAGAGCCAGGGCUAGAGACAGCCCUGGCCACACACCUGUCUGUCACCCUUGUGACCAGGGACAGGGGGUCCUUGACCUCCUGUAGCAGUUAAAGAAAUCUCAGAGAAGGACCCUGGCUGGUCCAGUCUGGAUCAUGAGCCCGCACCACUGGAAU